rnacentral:snRNA from 1 species
GUGAUCAUGCCACAUAUACUAAAAUUGGCAUAAUAUAGAGAAAAUAGCAUGGCCCCUGUACAAGUAUUACAUAGAAAUUGAUGAAGUGUAUCACAUUUUU